rnacentral:rRNA from 1 species
GACGUAGGGCGCGAGCGUUGUCCGGAUUUAUUGGGCGUAAAGAGCUCGUAGGCGGCUUGUCGCGUCGGCUGUGAAAUCCCGUGGCUCAACUGCGGGUCUGCAGCCGAUACGGGCAGGCUAGAGUUCGGUAGGGGAGACUGGAAUUCCUGGUGUAGCGGUGAAAUGCGCAGAUAUCAGGAGGAACACCGGUGGCGAAGGCGGGUCUCUGGGCCGAUACUGACGCUGAGGCGCGAAAGCUAGGGGAGCAAACGGG